UUCAUUGUUCUGUGUAUGCUCUGUUUUUGUGCUUUAUUGUCGUGCUUUGUUGAAUCGUGUAUCGUUUUGCCGACUCCUUCCUUGCUUCCUGGCCUGCGUGCUUUUUGGGAUUACUUGUCCGGAGAACACAGCCGGAGCAGCAAGAAGAGGGCCUCAUAAUGGAAUUACUGCUGAGUAUCUGGUUGUGUUUGUACUUGAUGAAGCACUGGAGUCAUGCUUAACAGUCUGGUAACACUGAACUGGCAGCUGAGGGAUGUUAUUGUUGUGGUACGUAGAGCCAUUCGCCAUACCAAAGUGACAGAAGAAACAUGUUUCCUCAAAAACUGAUAGUAUUGCUGUUAGCUGAAGAGCUGCAGGCGACAGGCUGCACACCUCCAGCUCCUCAGCAAGUGACACUCUUGUCUCUAACCUUGUUGGUCCUUCAUGUGCGUUGAGGAAUAUCUAAAAAGGUGCAUCACAUUGAGGAUGAAGACGUUUUUCCCAGCAGCAUCUGAUCUUCUAUUCAUAACAUAUCAUUGUGCUUGUACCUCUCUAUUCUGAUUCAUCAGCACAUUAUGAUAUUGU